UAGAGUUUACAUAACAUUAGUCUAGCUGAAUCGAAUAGCGUAAACUCAUAUCAAUAAUUCAAUUCAAUCGAAUUAUUUAGGUGUAGCCAAACCCCGUUGGACAAUUAAAAUUUUUGAAAAUAUUUUUGAGAAUGACGUCAUGAUGCCGUACUGUAUUAACAGUCCAUUUAAGGAUGCCGUCACCGAGUGACUUUGUCAUAACACAUCAUACAAUAGUGGAACAAUGAUUUUCAGAUCGAAUUCGCACUAAGUAUUCCUGCAUUUACAACUCUAUCAACUUUUUAUGAUCUCUGCACCAGGUUACAUGGUACAUGAGUGAUAAAGAAAAUAUAUUUUGAUAUUUUAAAUCAUUGCGUCUAGCUGAAAUAAGUAGCAUAGACUAUACUUUAAACCGUUUCAAAAAUGAUUAUGAGUCUACAUAUUUUUUUUUCCAAAAGCACAUAGUGCGUAUUUAGCUUGAUGUCAAAAUUCCGAAGUCUAGAAUAGCUAGUAGUUUUGGAAAACUUAUGUCUUCACUAAUAAUCCUUUUCUUAACAAUCUAUCUAUUCCUAUAAUCUUUAAUACUCCAUUUACACACAACUAUACCCUGUUCGUCAAACCACACUUAUGAGUUCAUUUACUUGCCACAAUCAUAUGAGUUUAAGAACUUGUCCUAGUCAGACCUUUGGCGUCCAUUAGCUGAGGGGUUCAUAAACAUUUCAUAUAACUAUGAGUCAAGAAUGUCACAUAAGUAUGAGUCUUAAGAAUUCGUACUUAACCUUAUAUUCUCUACCUAUAACCUAUCUAUAUGUUCUACACAUGAGAAAGGAAUCACCCUCUUAACAUGUGUCGACGUCGGGAUUUUUGGGUGUCCCUUUCCGUUACUUGUUCUUUGGUGUUCUCAUUUUAGGUGAGAUUUGUUUGAAAAAAUAAGCGAAAAAGGUCCGACAUGUAUAAUGUCGACGAUGGGACUGGUAAGAGUCGCCAGUUGGUUUUUUAAAUGGUUGUACCAACACAACCGAGAAAAGGUUUGCACAUUGACCUAGUGAUGUGACACUGAUAUACGGGUCGGCGAAACCGAGAUUCAUU
rnacentral:lncRNA from 1 species